GCAUUAAUGGGGUAGUGGUAACCUGGGUCGUUACCAUCACAUGUGGCUUUAUGGUCCUUUUCUCGACCCGCCGGGGGUUCGAUUCCCUCUUAAUGCA